GAUGAACGCUGGCGGCGUGCCUAAUACAUGCAAGUCGAGCGAACAGACGAGGAGCUUGCUCCUCUGACGUUAGCGGCGGACGGGUGAGUAACACGUGGAUAACCUACCUAUAAGACUGGGAUAACUUCGGGAAACCGGAGCUAAUACCGGAUAACAUGUUGAACCGCAUGGUUCAACAGGGAAAGACGGUCUUGCUGUCACUUAUAGAUGGAUCCGCGCCGCAUUAGCUAGUUGGUAAGGUAACGGCUUACCAAGGCAACGAUGCGUAGCCGACCUGAGAGGGUGAUCGGCCACACUGGAACUGAGACACGGUCCAGACUCCUACGGGAGGCAGCAGUAGGGAAUCUUCCGCAAUGGGCGAAAGCCUGACGGAGCAACGCCGCGUGAGUGAAGAAGGUCUUCGGAUCGUAAAACUCUGUUAUUAGGGAAGAACAAAUGUGUAAGUAACUAUGCACGUCUUGACGGUACCUAAUCAGAAAGCCACGGCUAACUACGUG
rnacentral:rRNA from 1 species